CCCCUCUCAGGGUCACACCUGGAGAGUUUCCAGUACUCUACCAGUUUGGGCUACGGAAGGGAGGGUCGAGCAGAGGCCUGUCCAUUCCAUUCCUAGUCUGGCCAGUGGCUAGCGAGUGGAAGGCAAUGUGCUACAAGU
rfam:Ornithorhynchus anatinus chromosome X1, whole genome shotgun sequence.